rnacentral:lncRNA from 1 species
GUGUGUAUAUAUAUGUAUGUAUGUAUGUAUAUAUAUGUAUAUAUAUGUAUAUAUGUGUGUGUGUGUGUGUAAGAAUCUUGGAAGCAUGUGGAAUCUUGUAAAACCUUAAAAUUGUUUCACAUGAAAUAUGACCUCAAUUUAGUCAAAAUCAAGACAAGCUAUAUUAGCUUCUUUUUUUUUUCAGUACUAAAACAUGCAGUCCCAAUAUAUAAUUCUUGUAGACUUUCAAAUAAAGCAAUAUGCGCUUGCAUUAUUGCACUCAGUAAUGAUUAACUCUCAAUGAAAAUGCAUGGUGCUGCACGAUCUUCUCCACUUAUCAUCGUUGAAGUGCAUGGUGUAAAUACAGCAUAACUCUCAAGGCAUAGAUAAAGUCCCUACCGCAUCAAGAUUUCUGUCUUUUGUUGAUUUUAAAAUUGGAAAUGAAUACUUUUUGGACUUAAACUCCAUUGUGUUUAUGAUUGGCCUAAAAUUAUCCAAUUACUUGAAGCAUCGAUAGUUACCUAAUAUGUUCAAAAGUUUCAAGCUAAUUAUAUAUAGGACUAGCUAGUGAAUGAAGGUCUUUGAAGGAAGAAUUGUACCAAUAUGCGACUCUUAAUCAAAUGAACAUAUGACGUCUUUCUUGCUUCUAUGUUCUAAAAUACCAUAAUGCUCUAUUUAGCUACUUGCUUGUUGUGUACAAAACUAUUAUGAAAAGAUAACUGAUGGACUCGAAAAUGUUUUAAGAUGUUAAUUUCUUCAUAACUCUCUAGGGUUUCAAACAAUCUAAAAGCCAUCACCAAACACUUGUCCAACAUUCCCAUAGUAACGAUGUAUCCCCCCUUGUCUCACGUGUAUGCACGUGUGCAUGUGCACACAUUUCUUGGCUUAAUUAAUUGUGAGGAUAUGGUAAUGAUUCUUUCUUUUUGUUCGAGAGGUAACAACUCUUUUGGUUUGCUUGACCUCAACACCUAUGCUACAUCUUGUAGAAACUCAAAAUUAACAAUGCAUAGUGACUCUUUUUUUCUUUCUAGCAAACUUACUUCAUCAGUGCCAAGUGUUUUCUCCACGUGCACUUACAAGUGUUUUCUCAUGUAAUUAGCUAUUUAGUAAUAAAAGCAAAUUCUAAAUGGUGAUAGUACUAUAUCACACACGAGUUGAAAAUAUUGAGAAAGAUCAUCCUGCAUACUACCAUAAAUUUUUCACCAAAAGCUAAUCUUCUUAUUUGUCAUUACUAUUCUAGUGGAAAUGAUUGAAUAUUAUGACAUUUAUCAUGCUAUUUCAUGCAUUUUCUCACUCAAACCUCAUACUUUAAAAGCUGCUGCAACACAAUUUUUGCUUGUAGUAAUUCUCAAAAAUUAAAAAUAUAAGGUACAUGAUUUGAAUCCUUGUUGCAUGUGGCUCAUUGUAAUGAUCUUAUCGGCCAAGAUUUUCUCUUAUUUCCAAAUGGUGUCUUCCGAAUAUCCAUGGCCUUUUCAUGCCUUGGUGGUAUAUUGAUUAUCACCAGAUAGCAGAUAUUGUGAAGCUUCUUUAAAUCCUUAUCUAUAAAAUCCUUGUGCCAUUUGCAUCAUGAUUUCUUAGAAAGAUAUUGUGCACGUCUAAUACUUCUGUGUUAUUUGAUACAAUAUUCAAAUAUCAAUCCUUUCAUAUUCCAUCUUUCUCAUUUUACAUAGCUAAUCUAGAAAUAUUCAUGGAUAUGUUUAAGUACCAUCCAUGAAAUGGAUGAGAACUUAUGUCUAAAUUAAAAUAUUUGUAUUUAACAAAAAAUAUGUAAUUAAACUUGUUAUUUAUUUUUCUUAAGAAUAUUCUUUUUAUGCACAUAAGCAUUGAUAGCUAU